rnacentral:rRNA from 1 species
GAUGAACGCUGGCGGCGUGCCUAAUACAUGCAAGUCGAGCGAACAGACGAGGAGCUUGCUCCUUUGACGUUAGCGGCGGACGGGUGCGUAACACGUAGGUAACCUACCUAUAAGACUGGGAUAACUUCGGGAAACCGGAGCUAAUACCGGAUAAUAUUUCGAACCGCAUGGUUCGAUAGUGAAAGAAGGCUUUACUAUCACUUAUAGAUGGACCUGCGCCGGAUUAGCAGGUUGGUAAGGUAAAGGCUUACCAAGGCAACGAUACGUAGCCGACCUGAGAGGGUGAUCCGCCACACUGUAACUAAGACACGGUCCAGACUCCUACGCGGGGCAGCAGUCGGGAAUCUUCCGCAAUGGGCGAAAGCCUGACGUAGCAACGCCGCGUGAGUGCUGAAGGUCUUCUGAUCGUAAAACUCUGUUAUUAUUGAAGUACAAACGUGUAAGUACCUGUGCACGUCUUGACGGUACCUAAUCAGAAAGCCCCGGCUAACUACGUG